GAUGAACGCUGGCGGCGUGCCUAAUACAUGCAAGUCGAGCGAACAGACGAGGAGCUUGCUCCUCUGACGUUAGCGGCGGACGGGUGAGUAACACGUGGAUAACCUACCUAUAAGACUGGGAUAACUUCGGGAAACCGGAGCUAAUACCGGAUAAUAUAUUGAACCGCAGGGUUCAAUAGUGAAAGACGGUUUUGCUGUCACUUAUAGCUGGAUCCGCGCCGCAUUAGCUAGUUGGUAAGGUAACGGCUUACCAAGGCAACGAUGCGUAGCCGACCUGAGAGGGUGAUCGGCCACACUGGAACUGAGACACGGUCCAGACUCCUACGGGAGGCAGCAGUAGGGAAUCUUCCGCAAUGGGCGAAAGCCUGACGGAGCAACGCCGCGUGAGUGAUGAAGGUCUUCGGAUCGUAAAACUCUGUUAUUAGGGAAGAACAAAUGUGUAAGUAACUAUGCACGUCUUGACGGUACCUAAUCAGAAAGCCACGGCUAACUACGUG
rnacentral:rRNA from 1 species